ensembl:misc_RNA 7SK 7SK RNA
GAAUGGGAGGGCCAUCUGGCUGCAACAUCUUUCAACCCAUUCAUCACCAGGGUUGAUUCGGCUGAUGUGACUGGCUACGGGGGGUGUCCCCUUCCUCCCUCACCACUCCAUGUGCGUUGCUCUGGAAGCUGUGCCCUGGGUCUAAGACAACCAUCUCCAGUAGAGGAGGACGGAUCUUCCCUCAAGAGUAUACGAGUAGCUGUACUUCCCUGCUAGAACCUCCAAACAAGCUCUCAAGGACAGACUAUCAAACAAUCCCAUGAGGUAAAAACAAUAAAUAAUGACUCUCCUGAAAAGUUUUC